rnacentral:rRNA from 1 species
UACGUAGGGUGCAAUCGUUGUUCGGAAUCAUUGGGCGUAAAGCGCGUGUAGGCGGUUAGAUAAGUCAGAUGUGAAAUCCCUAGGCUCAACCAAGGAAGUGCAUUUGAAACUAUCUAGCUAGAAGAUGGUAGAGGAAGGUGGAAUUCCAAGUGUAGAGGUGAAAUUCGUAGAUAUUUGGAGGAAUACCGGCGGCGAAGGCGGCCGUCUGGGUCAUACUUGACGCUGAGACGCGAAAGCGUGGGUAGCAAACAGG